AGCGAACGCUGGCGGCAGGCCUAACACAUGCAAGUCGAACGAACCUUUCGGGGUUAGUGGCGGACGGGUGAGUAACACGUGGGAACGUGCCUUUAGGUUCGGAAUCACUCAGUUAAACUUGUGCUAAUACCGAAUGUGCCCUUCGGGGGAAAGAUUUAUCGCCUUUAGAGCGGCCCGCGUCUGAUUAGCUAGUUGGUUGAGGGAAUGGCUCACCAAGGCUACGAUCAGUAGCUGGUCUGAGAGGAUGAUCAGCCACAUUGGGAAUGAGACACGGCCCAAAAUCGGACGGGAGGCAGCAGUGGGGAAUCUUGCGCAAUGGGCGAAAGCGUGACGAAGCCAUGCCGGGUGAAUGAUGAAGGUCUUAGGAUUGUAAAAUUCUUUCACCGGGGACGAUAAUGACGGUACCCGGAGAAGAAGCCCCGGCUAACUUCGUG
rnacentral:rRNA from 1 species